rfam:Heterocephalus glaber contig27504, whole genome shotgun sequence.
GGGGGUGUAGCUCAGUGGUAGAGCACUUGCUUGGCAUGUGUGAAGUUCUGGGUUGAAUCCCCAGCACCACAC